CUCCCCGCGACGAGUCUGUGGGGACAGGUCUGUCACACGGGACAGGGGGCAACCAGUUGCCCCCCUUGGGUGCCCAUUGCCCCCUCAGGUGCCCAGUUGCCCCAUGAACUGCUCUACGGACCCCUUGGGCACCCUGUUGCCCCUUUGGGCACCCAGCUGCC